rnacentral:rRNA from 1 species
AUUGAACGCUGGCGGCAGGCCUAACACAUGCAAGUCGAGCGGAUGAAGGGAGCAUGCUCCUGUAUUCAGCGGCGGACGGGUGAGUAAUGCCUAGGAAUCUGCCUGGUAGUGGGGGAUAACGUCCGGAAACGGGCGCUAAUACCGCAUACAUCCUGAGGGAGAAAGUGGGGGAUCUUCGGACCUCACGCUAUCAGAUGAGCCUAGGUCGGAUUAGCUAGUUGGUGGGGUAAAGGCCUACCAAGGCGACGAUCCGUAACUGGUCUGAGAGGAUGAUCAGUCACACUGGAACUGAGACACGGUCCAGACUCCUACGGGAGGCAGCAGUGGGGAAUAUUGGACAAUGGGCGAAAGCCUGAUCCAGCCAAGCCGCGUGUGUGAAGAAGGUCUUCGGAUUGUAAAGCACUUUAAGUUGGGAGGAAGGGCAGUAAGUUAAUACCUUGCUGUUUUGACGUUACCAACAGAAUAAGCACCGGCUAACUUCGUG